rnacentral:lncRNA from 1 species
GCUUCAGCUCAGAAUGAGUCCGCUCUGGAGCUGAGUGCCUGACCAAAAAGGUCGCUCCUCGAGAAGGAAGUGUUAAAGGCGCAAGAGCAGUUCUUGUGGAUCACUAUGUAUAUGUUGAGAGCCAGUAACAUCAGCGUUGGCAAUUAGCCUGAGAUCAGUGCCUGGAACAAAAUAAAUCCACCAAAGUUUCCCAUAUGCUGCCCAGAUGUCCUACAAAUAGAUUAUGAGAUACUGCUUGUUGCUCCUUAUAUGUCCCAUCAUAACCACUGAUUCUUAAUGCUAUUUUUUUUUUUACCAUCUAGCUAUUAAAAAUGACAGGCAGAAUUAUGCAACAGAAGAUUCGUUUGGGAAAUCUCAUUCACAGUCUGCACAUAUACUCAAGGAGACAAGCCCAUUUCUUAAAUACAUCUGUAGUUUAGGAGGAACCUGUGAUAAAUCUAAACCAAGAAGAAUAUUUUGAUGAGCUGAGGCUAAUAAUGCAUCCUUGCCUCUCAUGCUCCAGCAGAAAAAGGCUCCCUUGGCCAUUAGAAGUUCUCCCAGAAGCUGAAGUAA